rfam:Ovis aries breed Texel chromosome 3, whole genome shotgun sequence.
UCCCUGUAGCUCUUAAGUUAAAGAAUCUGCCUGCAAUGCAGGAGACCCAGGUUUGAUCCCUGGGUUGGGAA